UUUCUUGAAAAAAUUGUGGAUGCAUUUAAAAUUGAGAUUUACAAGCGAAGAAAUGUAGAAGAUUUAAUCCUUUCCGCGGUGGGGCACUUAUGUUUUUACUCUUAUUGUCCUGUUGACACUAAGAAGAUCUUUUAAUCAGACCCAUCAUGGAUUCGGCGAAGUUCACAAAAUGAAGUUGCUGAAUGUUAAUGGACGAGAUCCGAAUAUUUGUGACAAACCCCUCACGAAAAUUCCUGGGUUUUUCGACUCGUCAGGAUUCGUUUCUGGGUCCUCCAGAGAGCGCUCGGCUGACGUCUUAAUUCAGUGGUUUUCAACUGAGGUGCCGCAACAUCACUUCAAGAGUGCCGCGAAAUAAUAGGCCCACUGAACAGCGCUGUAACACUUCUUACGUGUAAGUUGUGAUUAUAAGUACGAAAAAAGCAAUAAUUCUACAUUGAUAAAGGAAUAGAGAUGCCGCAAGAAAAAUUAAUUAAAUUGAUGGUGCCACUAUUAGAAAAAGAUUGGAAAACACUGUCUUAACCACUGGAUCAUCCGGCCGUCGCCUUAUGAGAACUAACUGUAAGAGCAGAGUCGUCGAGAAGAGUAGAGCUGAGAAUUUUUUCCUGGUUCUUAGUGGUUCUUAUUUUUAUAAAUUAAUUUUAUCUCUAUUAACAAAAAAUAAAAUCUUUAAGACUGAUUUUUAAAGAAACAUUAUAAGUAUUUUAUUUCGUCAAAAAAAGCAAAAUAAUUGGUUUGAUUGAUUUGAUAGGACACGGCAAUGUAACACAUAGCCGAUCAUCCAAGUAGGACCGCUCUCGUGAGGACUUUCUGUGAGAAGCUGUCUCCUAUUUAAGUGUUAGAGUUCUUCUCUUAACACCACUCCCCGCCGCUGAGGACGAGAUUUGCAUCCUGUCAAAACAGUGUUUAGCUCUUGAUGAAAAAAUAAUUGCUCGAUCCGUAAGAGAUGUAGUGUACGCUGAACAGAAAACAUUACAAGAAAAAUUACGAAAAGAAGUAUAGAAAAUCAAAGCAAGAAUGAGCUAGAUCACAGAGUUAGGAGAGUGAAAAGAAGACAAAGUGGAGGUUCCAGUGGAGGUUGCAGAUCAGAUAGCUCUCGUGGAUCUUCGCAAACCAUCGCUUUAUUAGCUAUACCCGUUCAACUUGUUGCAGUUAGAAUACCUGUUCAAAGUACAGGAAGUGGAGGAAGUAGCGGUUGUGGAAAUAAGCCGUCAACUGGAAGCUGCAGUUCCAGUUGUAAUCGUUGCAAGCCUAGUUGCAAUUGUAGAUAAAAUAAAAACUGCCUUACUGUAAGAAAAUAAUUUUUAUAAUUACACCUAUAGUCUAUAUUGUAUGUCUUUUGUUUGACAUCUAUUAAGUAUUUGUUCUAUCUCGACAUUAGAAUUAAUUGUUUGAUUUAUCAUGUUCUGCUCUCUUUAUGUCUCAAUACACUCGGUACUCUUAAAAAUUAACUUUUUAGAUAAGUAAUUCAUAUUAAUGAAUUGAUGAAGCCAUUAGAAGU